UGUCUGCAUGGAUCUGGAUGGAAACAUCCUCAACAGGUUACACUCACGUUAGACUCAACCAUUUACUUUCUUUAAAAUAUAUAUUGCCAAGUUUGGAUGCAUGAACAGGUGGCAGAAAUUGAUGUACUCGGAUGCUGGUGAUCUGAGCUUUACUUAUGGAGAUACAUCUAUUUAUCUCCAUGUUUCUGUUUUCAAAUACAGUUGUUUUAAAGAUGUCCACCCUGGAAUGUUCACAUACAACCAAGGAAUUAGACUGAAUGUUGUCGAGUGAGUGAGCAUGCCUGAUGAUAAGAUCCGCUUUGCUCGUGCGGGAGGAAAUUGGAGUAUUAAGUGGAACCUCCAAACCCGGAGUGUCUCAAAACAGAUUUGACAUUCUUGAAGCGAGGCAGUACAAAGCUCCAACCACUGAUGAGGUGUAUGUUUGCUUUACAUUUUAAUAUAUAUUAAUGUCAACACUACUUUCACCA